UACAGAGGUCUCAACCGUUGUUCGGAUUCAUUGGGCGUAAAGGGUGCGUAGGCGGCCGCACAAGUCAGGUGUGAAAUCCUCGGGCUCAACCCGAGAACUGCACUUGAUACUGUGUGGCUAGAGAGCCGGAGAGGAGACUGGAAUUUACGGUGUAGCAGUGAAAUGCGUAGAUAUCGUAAGGAAGACCAGUGGCGAAGGCGAGUCUCUGGACGGCUUCUGACGCUGAGGCACGAAGGCUAGGGGAGCAAACGGG
rnacentral:rRNA from 1 species